rnacentral:rRNA from 1 species
AGUGAACGCUGGCGGUAGGCCUAACACAUGCAAGUCGAACGGCAGCACAGUAAGAGCUUGCUCUUACGGGUGGCGAGUGGCGGACGGGUGAGGAAUACAUCGGAAUCUACUUUUUCGUGGGGGAUAACGUAGGGAAACUUACGCUAAUACCGCAUACGACCUACGGGUGAAAGCAGGGGAUCUUCGGACCUUGCGCGAUUGAAUGAGCCGAUGUCGGAUUAGCUAGUUGGCGGGGUAAAGGCCCACCAAUGCGACGAUCCGUAGCUGGUCUGAGAGGAUGAUCAGCCACACUGGAACUGAGACACGGUCCAGACUCCUACGGGGGGCAGCAGUGGGGAAUAUUGGACAAUGGGCGCAAGCCUGAUCCAGCCAUACCGCGUGGGUGAAGAAGGCCUUCGGGUUGUAAAGCCCUUUUGUUGGGAAAGAAAAGCAGCAGGUUAAUACCCCGCUGUUCUGACGGUACCCAAAGAAUAAGCACCGGCUAACUUCGUG